rnacentral:rRNA from 1 species
GCCUGAUGCAGCGACGCCGCGUGAGGGAUGACGGCCUUCGGGUUGUAAACCUCUUUCAGCAGGGAAGAAGCGCAAGUGACGGUACCUGCAGAAGAAGCGCCGGCUAACUACGUGCCAGCAGCCGCGGUAAUACGUAGGGCGCAAGCGUUGUCCGGAAUUAUUGGGCGUAAAGAGCUCGUAGGCGGUCUGUCGCGUCGGAUGUGAAAGCCCGGGGCUUAACCCCGGGUCUGCAUUCGAUACGGGCAGACUAGAGUGUGGUAGGGGAGAUCGGAAUUCCUGGUGUAGCGGUGAAAUGCGCAGAUAUCAGGAGGAACACCGGUGGCGAAGGCGGAUCUCUGGGCCAUUACUGACGCUGAGGAGCGAAAGCGUGGGGAGCGAACAGGAUUAGAUACCCUGGUAGUCCACGCCGUAAACGGUGGGAACUAGGUGUUGGCGACAUUCCACGUCGUCGGUGCCGCAGCUAACGCAUUAAGUUCCCCGCCUGGGGAGUACGGCCGCAAGGCUAAAACUCAAAGGAAUUGACGGGGGCCCGCACAAGCAGCGGAGCAUGUGGCUUAAUUCGACGCAACGCGAAGAACCUUACCAAGGCUUGACAUACACCGGAAACGGCCAGAGAUGGUCGCCCCCUUGUG